rfam:Triticum aestivum genome assembly, contig: Triticum_aestivum_CS42_TGACv1_scaffold_592122_7BS
CUAGUACUCCAUCCGUCCCGAAUUACUUGUCACGGAAAUGGAUAAAUAAAUAUAUGUAGAAUUAAAAUAUGUCUAGAUACAUUUAUUUCCGUGAAAAGUAUUUCUGGACGGAGGGAGUAUUUC